rnacentral:rRNA from 1 species
GAUGAACGCUAGCGGGAGGCUUAAUACAUGCAAGUCGAGGGAGAUUCUUUUUUCGAAAAGAUGAACCGGCGCACGGGUGAGUAACGCGUACACUACCUACCUUAUACUGGGGAAUAGCCUUUGGAAACGAAGAUUAAUACCCCAUGGUCCCGCAAGGGUAAAGCUUCGGCGGUAUAAGAUGGGUGUGCGUCUGAUUAGCUAGUUGGUGAGGUAACUGCUCACCAAGGCUACGAUCAGUAGGGGGCGUGAGAGCGUGAUCCCCCACACGGGUACUGAGACACGGACCCGACUCCUACGGGAGGCAGCAGUAAGGAAUAUUGGUCAAUGGGCGAAAGCCUGAACCAGCCACCCCGCGUGAAGGAUGAAUGCCCUAUGGGUUGUAAACUUCUUUUGUUUGGAAAGAAAAUCCCGGUCGUGCAUCGGGACUGACGGUACCUUACGAAUAAGCACCGGCUAACUCCGUGCCAGCAGCCGCGGUAAUACGGAGGGUGCAAGCGUUAUCCGGAAUCACUGGGUUUAAAGGGUGAGUAGGCGGCAUUAUAAGUCAGAGGUGAAAGCUUACAGCUUAACUGUGAAAUUGCCUUUGAAACUGUAAUGCUUAAAUUACGUUGAGGUCAGCGGAAUGUGGCAUGUAGCGGUGAAAUGCAUAGAUAUGCCAUAGAACACCAAUUGCGAAGGCAGCUGGCUAGGCGUAUAUUGACGCUGAGGCACGAAAGCGUGGGUAGCGAACAGGAUUAGAUACCCUGGUAGUCCACGCCCUAAACGAUGCUACUCGAUAUCUGCAUUUAUGUGGGUGUCAAAGGGAA